CCUACGGGUGGCUGCAGUGGGGAAUCUUGCACAAUGGGGGAAACCCUGAUGCAGCGACGCCGCGUGAGCGAAGAAGUAUUUCGGUAUGUAAAGCUCUAUCAGCAGGGAAGAACAUGACUGUACCUGAGUAAGCAGCUCCGGCUAACUCCGUGCCAGCAGCCGCCGUCAUACGAAUGGAGCAAACGUUAUCCGGAUUUACGGGGCGUAAAGUGAGCGUAGGCGGCUUGCCAAGUCUGAUGUGAAAUACCGGGGCUCAACCCCGGGGCUGCAUUGGAAACUGGCAGGCUGGAGUGCCGGAGAGGAAGGCGGAAUUCCAAGUGUAGCGGUGAAAUGCGCAGAGAUUAGGAGGAACACCAGUGGCGAAGGCGGCCUGCUGGACGGUGACUGACGCUGAGGCGCGAAAGCGUGGGGAGCAAACAGGAUUAGAUACCCCGGUAGUC
rnacentral:rRNA from 1 species